GUGUGAACACAGUAAACACCGAAAUGCAUUGGGAACUUAUUGAGGAAACAUCAAACGGCAUUUUGUACAGCGAAUCGCUGAACGACUAUUUUAUAGACGAGAAAGAUGAAAGAAGUCCUGUUGAAAUCAGUGCCGUAAUUCACCACCAUAUGGCUAUUAUUCGUUCAGCUAUGGAAGUUGAUGCUGAACUACAGAGGAUGGAGGAUUUGGAAAUGAAUUCGCCAGAAUACAUCAACAGCAGCAGUGGCCGUUGGGCUGUGACAACUAAGAAGAACACAUUUUAAAUGAAUUCGGCAGAUGAAAUCAACGGAAGCAGUGGCUGUUGGGCUGUGAAAACUAACAAGAACACAUUUUAAAUGAAUUCGGCAGGUAAAUAUUAUUGUUGAGACUUCUAUUCAUCGACAUCUAACCAUUAGCUGAUGCGUUAUUUCCA